rnacentral:tRNA from 1 species
CUAAAAGUAAGCUAAACAUAAGCUUUUGGGCUCAUAUCCCAAAUAUGGAACUUCCCCUUUUUGA